rnacentral:rRNA from 1 species
UACAGAGGGUGCAAGCGUUGUUCGGAAUUAUUGGGCGUAAAGGGCGCGUAGGCGGUGCGGUAAGUCACCUGUGAAAUCUCCUGGCUUAACUGGGAGCCUGCAGGCGAAACUACCGUGCUAGAGUAUGUAAGAGGGUCGCGGAAUUCCCGGUGUAGAGGUGAAAUUCGUAGAUAUCGGGAGGAACACCGGUGGCGAAGGCGGCGACCUGGGACAAUACUGACGCUGAGGUGCGAAAGCGUGGGGAGCAAACAGG